UCUAUUUUUCUGGAUCUAACUUUGACUUUUCCUCUAAGAUCUAAGUGAAUUAGCACACACACACACACACACACACACACACACACACACACACACACACACAGAUAAGACAAGAUACAGCCACCCAGCCUGCUUUUGUCCUGUAUGCUUUGACAUCUCAUUUAUCACCACAAGUACCACGGAUAAGGACAACAACAGCCAGGCAGGUACACAGACUCCCCAGGCAACCAGUCAGCACGCCAGGUAGUCAGUCAGGUGUAGAGUUAACCAGCCACACAGUCAUAAAGUUAGUCAUUUGUGCAGUUAACCAGCCAGCCAAUCAAUCACCCAGGUAGUCAGUCAGGUGUAGAGUUAACCAGCCACACAGUCAUAAAGUUUGUCAUUUGUGCAGUUAACCAGCCAGCCAAUCAAUCACCCAGGUAGUCAGUCAGGUGUAGAGUUAACCAGCCACACAGUCAUAAAGUUAGUCAUUUGUGCAGUUAACCAGCCAGCCAAUCAAUCACCCAGGUAGUUAGUCAGGUGUGCAGUCAAUUAGCCAUACAACCAUACAAUCACUCAGCUAUCCAGUCAGGUAUGCUAUCAACUAGCCAUACAAACACACAUUCACCCAGCUAGUCAGUCAGGUAUGCAGUCAAUUGGCCAUAGAAUCAUACAGUCAGUCAGCCCAUCAGUCACCCAAAUAUCCAGUCAGGUCUGCAGUCAACUGGCCAUACAAUAAUACAAUCACUCACCCAGCUAUCCAGUCAGACAUACAACCACACAGUCAGCCAGAAAAUCAGUAAUAGUCAGAUAUACAACCAAUCUGUCUGUGUGCCAGCCAGUUACUCGGGUGCAGUCAAAGAGCUAUACAACCACACAGUCAGCCAUACAUCCAUCGACAAUCAAGGACAUAGUCAGUCAUUUCCAGCCUGCCAGUCAGCCACACAGCCUCGGCAAAUCACACAAACAAGGGCCACAACAAAGGUUUGGGUGCCCGCUAGACUUGUGGCAGGAGUUAACUGAUAGUGACAACAAGGGACUGAUAAUGGAGUAGCACUGUGUAUCAAACGCCCAAACAAUGGCUAAUAUUAUCACACUUAACCAGAGGACUGAUCCAACAUUUUCUUAGCGGCGUUUAUCGUACUGUCACUCACAACAAGGCUGACAAAUCCCGCUCCACUCAUGCACCACUUCCCGCUCAUGUAUAUUAAGCCUGAGUACAACUUAAAUCCACUGCUGCGCGUCCUGCCUUGAUACUUUGAUGCUAGAACCUCAUUAUCAACACCCUUGUUAAUUAAAGUCAUUCUGUUGGUGAAUCGGUUCUUGCCUGUGUCUUUUUGAUAUCUCGAUCGAUCAAAAACCCACUGCACCCUAUUUUUUUAUUAGCAAAACCUUGUAAGCAACGCCCUGGUUAUGCCAAUAUAUUAAUAAACCAGUUCUUACCUGUAUCUUCAUCUGAACAUAUCUAACUUGAACCCUUUGUUAUAUCAGAUAAGAGCCCUGCCAUGAUCUUUUACUAGAAGAACCUUAUAUGCAACGCCCUGGUCAAAGCCGCUCAGUAAACUAGUUCUUUCCUGUAUCUCUUAUCUGAAUAUAUUUACUUGAACCCUUUGCUCUCAGUGCUGCCAUGAUCUUGAUUUGCAGAGCCUCACAAGCAUCUUCCAUGUUAAAACCAACCUAUUAGGAAACCAGUCCUUCCCAGUGUAUUUGCUAUCUGAGUAUAUCUAACCAGAACCUUUUGCUACGAGUCCUGCCAUGUUCUUAUACUUGCAGAGGCUUAUAAGUAACUUUCAUGUUAUAAUCAAUCUAUUUGUGAACCAGUUCUUAUCCGUGUCUCUGAUAUGUGAAUAUAUUAACUUGAAGCCUUUGCUACGCCGCCCUGCAUAUUUAUGUCAGAACCUUAUCGGCAUCGACCCUGUAUAAGCCACUCUCUUUUUGUUUGUCUUUUAUCUGAAUGUACCUAACUGGACCCCACAGCUACGUGUCCCACCCUGUCCUUCUAACAACAGAACAGACAGAACGCAGGGCCAUGUAAAGGACAGACAGUGCAUUCGGUUUCGUCACAGUCCUCCAGGGUUGCCACUUGUUAGUUUGGUUGUCCAUCUGUUAUCAUGUUAACGCAUCAUACGACCUGCCCAAGGCCACCUUUUUCUUCCUUCGUUUCAAGGAAAAUAAUAACUCGUCCCUGGCAAACCUGAGGUACCUGAAGGAAAGGAAGAGAAGGAGAUAAGGAGGCAGGGAAGGAGGCAGGGAGAGAAAAGAGGGAGGCAGGGAAGGAGGGAAGGAGAGAAGGGAGGAAAGGAGGGAAGGUGGGUUAGGAGAGCACACAGAAUCAAUUGUCAAUAGCUGUAUCAUAUUUUCGAGAGAGA